rnacentral:lncRNA from 1 species
CGGGGCCGGAGCAGGCGGCUCCGGGGACACCGGUAGGAGAUUCCCUGCUCCCAGGGCAGGCAGGGGGGCUGCACCCCCAGGGCUCUUCGGCCACUGUAACGCCUCCCUCCUCUCUCUCAUCCAGCCCUUUCACUCUCCACCUCGCUGUCUCCUUGCCAGGCAUGGGAGUUUUUCCAGACUCUUCUCUGGGGCUGCAAAGCCCCGUGGUUUCCUUUGGGGUUCAGCACCCCGUGGGUCCUGUCCCAUAGCUCCUCUCCUGGGACAGACAUGUCCCAGCCUCACGCCAUUGCCUGUCCCCAGGAUGAGCCAGGAGCUGAGCAGACACCUCUGGGCAGCCAGGACCAGGAUCCCUGUGCUUUGGGAGCGGAGCCAAUCCCACUGGAGGAGAACUCUGCCAGGGCAGGGGAGCACCUCAAGGUAGAGCGGGGCAGUCCAGCUGUCCCCGAGGCUGGCACAGGUGAUGGGCCACAUCCCCACAGCCCAGCAGCCCCUCUGGAUCCCACUGAGAGGGAACAGCCGGCAUCCAGCGGCUCUGCAGAGGUGGGUGCUGAGCUGAGCCCACAUUCCCGGGGAGAGCAGCGUUUGCCAAGUGGAGCUGGAGAAGCUGAGGCAGAAGCUGCCCACGAUGGGGUGGGUCUCAGAGCAUGGGGCAGCUCUGUGGCGUGUCCCCCUCCCCAGCUUCUCGAGAGCCUUCAGCCACCUGAAAACUCUCAGGUCCCGCCAGGACCUGCAGCAGAAGCUGAUGCAGAGCCCAGCCAGGCUUGUCCUGAUCCCUGCACCUCACCAAGGACCUCACCGGAGCCCCAGCACUCUCCUGGCUCCAGUGAGACAAACCUGGCAGGGGAUGGACAGCAGCAGCUCUGCUUCAGGCUCCCGACACCCUCCCCAUCCCGCCUGGAUCUCCGCUCCGCCGCCGUCCUCGCCAGGAAGGCGGCCAUCGAGCUGUCGUACCAGCAGUUCAGCCUCAACUUCGCGGUGGUGGCCACGAUGCUGCUGCAGAAGGAGCCCUCCAUGGAGGCACCCCUGGGGCUGGCACUCAGGGCCAACCUGCGCCAGGGCUGGAUCCACCACGUGCAGGAGCUGGAGAAUUUCAUCGACAGCUACGACUCAGCCACCUCCAGCCCCUGAGGAGACACCCCCUCCUCCAGCCGGGCUGGGAGGGAUGGGGGGCUGUGCCAGGGCACUGCCGUGCUCAGGUGGUGCUGAGCCUGCGGGUCAGAGUGGCAUGGACAUGUUGGCAGUCCCACCAUAUCUCUUGGAGAGGGAGGAAGGUGGGGGUAUGCUUAGUUUUAACCCUGCCCAAACCUCUGUGUGCAGCCAAAGGAGGAGCUGGUGUUACUGGCUGGUGGUGGGAGGGAGAGAGAGCAGCAGCCCCUCUCCUCCAUCCAGGCUCCUCACUCCAUUCCUGGUUCCCCGGGAUGUGCCCACAAACCCCAGGAGUUGUUCUUGGUUUAAAAUCUAAAAAUAAACCCUGUUCUUGUUGCA